UUCUAAUUUAACUUCUUUUCCUCACACCCCCAACCUUUUCUCAAACAAAACUAGUUGACAAGAUGUGUUCAAACAAUGGUUUUUCCUGGAGGUUCUCCGUUUUUAGGGCCAGGGUCUGGUCAAAUGAUUAUCAAACUAACAAUAUCGGAUCACAUGCAGGCAGCAACAUCACUGGAUUUAAUGAAUCCACCGGUAACAAUAACAAAUAUCAGUGGGACGAUGAUAACCGUGAAAAAUACAAUCAGGGGACCGAGAUCAAAGCAUUCCAGAAUAAUAAGGACACCAACAUCAGCGGCUGAUGAAAUUGUACAUGCAUGCCGGAUGUGACAUGUACUGUCAUUACCAUAACUGGUCCAUAAGUAUCCCGAGUGAACUAUAAUUAAACGCAUAGCUUGAGUAUACUAGUGUAUACAUAACUAAGAGAAGUUAUCUCAUGUAAAUCAAAUAUGAUUAAUAGUAGAGUGCUAGUCUUUCUCUUCUUUUUUCUUGUUAUUCAUAAGAAUCAUAAAGGAUUUAGUGAUGAUCAGGUCAUUGGUAUCAUCGUACUCGGGUCAUUCUCGCAAAAGAGAUAACAAGGAAUUUUUGAUAA